rnacentral:rRNA from 1 species
AUUGAACGCUGGCGGCAUGCUUUACACAUGCAAGUCGAACGGUAACAGGCCUUCGGGUGCUGACGAGUGGCGAACGGGUGAGUAAUGCAUCGGAACGUACCCAGAGGUGGGGGAUAACGCAGCGAAAGCUGUGCUAAUACCGCAUGUGAUCUGAGGAUGAAAGCGGGGGACCGAGCAGCAAUGUUUGGCCUCGCGCCUUUGGAGCGGCCGAUGUCGGAUUAGCUAGUUCGUGGGGUAAAGGCCUACCAAGGCGACGAUCCGUAGCUGGUCUGAGAGGACGACCAGCCGCACUGAGAAGGAGACACGGCCCAAAAUCCACCGGGGGCAAGCAGUGGGAAUUUUGGACAAUGAACGCAAGCCUGAUCCAGCAAUGCCGCGUGCGGGAAGAAGGCCUUCUGGUUGUAAACCGCUUUUGGCAGGAACGAAACGUUGUCCGCUAAUACCGGACGAUAAUGACGGUACCUGCAGAAUAAGCAACGGCUAACUACGUG